rnacentral:rRNA from 1 species
UACAGAGGUCUCAAGCGUUGUUCGGAUUCAUUGGGCGUAAAGCGCGCGCAGGCGGUCCUUUAAGUCUGAUGUGAAAGCCCUCGGCUCAACCGAGGAGGGUCAUUGGAAACUGGAGGACUUGAGUGCAGAAGAGGAAAGUGGAAUUCCAAGUGUAGCGGUGAAAUGCGUAGAGAUUUGGAGGAACACCAGUGGCGAAGGCGACUUUCUGGUCUGUAACUGACGCUGAGGCGCGAAAGCGUGGGGAGCAAACAGG